CAGGGUGGAGAAGCUGCUGGGGCGGAUCCUGAGGAGCAAAGGAUGGAGACCCGACCGGGGCCUCUCCAGGAAGCACCUGCUGGAAGGUCUCCGGGGCUCCCUGCGCCGCCUCCAGCUCGAUUACGUCGACGUCGUCUUCGCCGGGCCCCGCCCUGGCCCCGCCCACAAUGAGGGUGAGGCCACGCCCACUUCGG